UUUUCUUCUUCUUCUUCUACUC
rnacentral:sRNA from 1 species